rnacentral:rRNA from 1 species
AAUCAACGCUGGCGGCGUGCCUCAGACAUGCAAGUCGAACGCGAAAGUCCCCUUCGGGGGAUGAGUAGAGUGGCGUCCGGGUGAGUAACACGUAGGUAAUCUACCUUUGGGUGGGGAAUAACCCCGAGAAAUCGGGGCUAAUACCGCAUAAUGCAGCGGCACCACAUGGUGACAGUUGUUAAAGCGGGGGAUCGCAAGACCUCGCGCCUAAAGAGGAGCCUGCGGCGGAUUAGCUAGNGGUAGGGUACGGCCUACCAAGGCAACGAUCCGUAGCCGGCCUGAGAGGGCGGUCGGCCACACUGACACUGAAAUACGGGUCAGACUCCUACGGGAGGCAGCAGUCGGGUAAUUUUGGGCAAUGGGCGAAAGCCUGACCCAGCAAACGCCGCGUGAAGGAAUA